AUUUUAUAGAAACCAAUCUCGUUAAUCCUUAUAUUCAUAGUUUGGCCCCCAAAUAAUCCCUCUUCUCUGUCUUUCAAGUCCGAAAUCAAUUCCAAAUACUCAAACCAGAACGCCACAAGAAACACUUCAGAUCAAAAAUUUGAAGUGCGAAUAACCUAUCCUUGAAGAAAGUGUAGAGCAAGUUGAAGUACAAGAGGUUUUGGUUCGUCAGCGAUGGUUUAAAGACACUGUCUUAUGUACAUAUAUAUGCUGCAAUUUUACUUUUUUUGUUUUUAGGAAUUAUUAAUAAUUAUGCUUUAGUUCUUUGUAUUAACAAGAUAUCAAGUAUUUGGUUAAUUUUCCAAUGUUGUUGAGUGUGUAUGAAUGCAUAUAAAUAAUUAUUACUA